GGGUCAGUAGGUUGGUCGUGCCACCGGUACGUACUGGUCUCACUGAUUCCUCCUUCCUGAAGAACCGUAAUGCCAUUAAUUUGGUGUUGCGGGGAAACAGGACUGUUACUUUGAAAAAAUUAGAGUGUUUAAAGCAAGCUAACGCUUGAAUACAUUAGCAUGGAAUAAUGAAAUAGGACGAUCGAUCCUCUUUUGUCGGUUUCUAGGAUUGACGUA
rnacentral:rRNA from 1 species